ensembl:lncRNA
GGCGGCAGCGAGCGGCGAGCGGGGCGGUGUGUCUGUCUCGGCUGUCACACCUGUCCUGAGGAAAGCCCUGUGGAAGGAGCUCGGUGCCGCGAUUCAGGACCCUGAGGCCACUGUGAAACUGCAAAUUCUUUCCAAGCUGUUGCCACCUCCGGGAAGUAAAGGGCUGCACAACCUGAUGGACUGCCUUCCUGCUGCUCCGGAGAGAGCAGGGAAUGAAGAGAGCUGGGCCGUGGCAGAUGCCAUAUCCACGGUGCUUAAAAACUCUGAGGAGCUGCAUUCCUGGAGGAGACAUCUCUUCUCAGCCUGCAUAAAGGGGUUAGUUGCCAUGUACAGCAGCAGUAAAGAUGAAGGCAAGCAAGAAGUGGAGAGGUCCAUGCUGCUGAGGCUAGAGGAAUUAUUGUGUGUGGUUGAAGAAGUGGACCCAGAUGACUGGUGUGACCUUGUGAAGACAGGGCUCAAGUACCGUUACAGAGAUGAAACAUUUCUGAAGGUCCUGAACGUUGCCAUCCAGUUACUAUACAUGAAAGAAUCCUCACUUAGAGCGUAGUCAAGCUCUCCAAACUACACAUGGUGCUCACACAGCACUCUCUAUUUUUGGCAGCCAUCCUGAGGUCAAGAGAAGAAGAUGGCAUGAGCGUCCAGACAAGAGGACAGGAGAAAUCAUUGAGCUCCUCCCAUCUUUGCCAGAAGCUUCAGUGUUUAAGCAGCCAGAGCCAAGAGGCUUCAGCACCAGGGGUGUGCACUGGAGGGCUCCUGGUCCUGUCCAUGCUGUGGGGGAGCCAGGGCUGGCACAAGGACUCGUGCGGGUGCUGCUCUGGCACUGGACCUGUUUCCCUGUGGAGCCAUUUAAAAAUGUGAUUAUGGAACAUUUUGGAGGCCGUUUCUGGAAUUCCAUUUGUAGCUGGAUCUCGCUCUGAGUGCAGCAGUCCAGGGUUUUUGUUGUUUAGAAUUUGAAGAGUAUUUGGUGUUUGGUGGAAAUAAAGAUGCUGCACUCACCUCUGCAGACCAACGCUGAGCUGUCACUGCAGGAACCCGUCAGGCCUCCGUGGCUGUGAGUUCAUGUUCUUCUCACUGGGGAAUUGAAAUAAUUGUUGAUUAAUAGCAGAAAUGUUUUCUGGAGCCUUUCCCCUUUUGUGCCCCUGUGCUGUGUGGGACAAGGGCAGAGGAGCCUCGGGCUGGAAAGGGGCGGGAGAAGGCAAAGGGACCCCCUGGUGUCCCCAGGGCUCUGUGGAGAACAGAACGGACACUGUGCGGGCACGGGGAGGUGAGGAGUGACAGUCUGGGGCCAAAUCCCAGCUCACCCGCAGGGAAAUAAGUGAGGGACAUUUUGGAGGGGAAAGCUGAGGCCAUGAGUUCACCCAGCCUGGCCAAGUUGUGUUCGCACAAAGUGGCACCAGAGGCAAAGGUCAAUCCAGAGCCCACCCUGCUCAACCUCUAGGUCCCAGAAUAAAUUCUACAAGCUGCCCGUUGUGGGACUAAAAACACAUGAAAGAGAACCAAGAGCAUUCCGAGAGCAAACCAGAAGGUUCCUGGGAAUCCCAUAACAUUGUUGUUGUAGCCUUUUUGACAGAGCUUUAAAUUUUUUAUUUUAAUGCUGCAUUUCUCUGCUGGGAUCAUUCACUCUGGGGGCUGUGGGGAUUUUUUGGGAUUGAACCCCCUCCCGGUGGCCCUGACACUGCUCAGGAGCAGGAGGAAAAGCAGAGUCAGCGCUCCUGGCAGGGGCAGGGAGUUUUGCCCCAGAGCAGAUGCAGCAGCUGCCCUCCAGCCCAGCCAGGAGGGAUCUGCUUUGGCUCCUGGCUGCUGCAGGCACAGAACGUGUUCAGCUGAUCCAGGUGACAUUCCAGCUGCCUCAUCUCCCAUCCAGCCCAGCCAGGAGGGAUCUGCUUUGGCUCCUGGCUGCUGCAGGCACAGAACGUGUUCAGCUGAUCCAGGUGACAUUCCAGCAGCCUCAUCUCCCAUCCCUGCUCCUGCCCCUCCUGCUCUCAGCUCCCACCCCACCACCUGUGCCAAGGGAAUUUGUCCCACCAGCAGCAGGGGAAGGACAAGGGCUCCCACCCUGGCACUUGGAUUGUCCCUCUGGGGGAUGCUGGCUGCUGGGAUUUAGAUCAUUCCGUACGUUUGGCUGCUGAAACUUCCCCACCCAGGGGAUUUUGCACAAAGAUUGUUCUCUGCGUGGUGCCGGGAUUUGGGGUUCAGUAUCAGCUUUGCUAGUUCAGAUGAAUUAUACCCACAGCCCCAGGUUCUCUACUGAAUUCCUGCUGGAAUAACCUGACUGUGCCUCGUGGAGAGUGGAAAUUCCCAUGCAGAGCUGCCACUUUAGCACCAGCUGUGUCAGGAACCAGCAGAGGUUCCAGGGAAGCUCAGUGGGAUCAGGACAAGGACAGGUCUCUAUUCUAUAGAACUUGCUAUUUAAAACCCUCAUCCCCCAGCCCCAGGGAUGUCUCUGGGGUCACUUGACAGAGUUCCCUGGAAUUCAGCUGAUUUCACCCCCCGGAGCUCAGGCUCCAGCUGAUGUUUUAAAGCAGGACAAGGCGGUGGCUGGGUGCGCUCCCGGCCUCUGCUGAGGCAGAACAUCUCUCCUGCAGAAGCUCCGCUCCUUUCAGAGCCUCAGCAGCAGCCUCUGCACGGCCUUUUCCCUCAGGAAAGGGAUGCACAUCCCUGCCUGCAGCACACCUCCAGUGGGACCCACCUGUGAGAGUUUUCCAUCACUUCUGCACCUCCAGCUGGCUCCCUGGAAAUCUCCAGACAUCAUCCCACUCAAACCUCUGAUUUUAAGGCAUCUCAGAGGCUAUGGCUAUGGCUUGGCAUUUAGUAUCUGUGAAGGAAGAUUGCCUUGGCUCAAAUGAAAUGUAAACUUUAAGGCAUUUAGAGAUUUUGAGGAGCUAAGAGAAAUAAGUCUUACUAGAAUUAAUUAAAAUAAGAAUAACAAAUGAGUAGGCCUUGAUGAAGUUAGGAGUUAGUAGUUAACUAAUAAUUAAUUGCUUGUCAGCACAAUGUUUAGUUAGCUGGGUUUAUAAUGAAGAAUAUAGAAACAGAUAAAUAGCUUUUAGGAACAUAAGACAAUUGUGGGCCUCUGUUCUGAAACCAAUUGAAGACAAGGAAUGGGAGUUCUACCAAGAGUUCAUUUGUCAUACUUGCAUUGAAAAGGUAGAAAGGUCAGAAGGAGGAAGACUUCAUUUACUUCCUCAUUUUGGGACCCCUCCCCAUGAAAGGGACCACCGACCCAUUUCAAGGGACAAACUACGCAUGCUUAAUAGCUUUUGGAGUGAUUAGCAUACGAAGCAGGGAAUGGGAUGUACCAAAAUUAUGAAUAUGUAUUUGUAUUUCGGGUAUUCAAUACUUGUAUGGAUAAAAAGACUCUGUAAUCACCUGGAAGGGGCGGUGUGUAUUUGGGAGCAAUCCCGCACGCUGCCCG